AAAUUAAAUUAUGAAUGGGUAAAUCAGCACAGCAUAAAACUGCAAUGAGAACAUUGUUUUUUGAUAUUAUUUGAUUUGAUAUUAGGCUAUUAACUUUUCAAACAUUUUGUAUUUUUAUUUUAUUAUUAUUAUCAUGUUAUAGGCUUCAGCUAACUUUAUUAGAGAUCAUUAUUUAAUAGAAUUCAAACUGGUUCGAAUUCCUAUUUCCGGCCCUUUAAAUUUAAAAGUAGGCGCGCGGAAAAGGCGCCUAAACAGCAGAGAGGAUCGGCUGGAGAAUUGACGGUUGAAAACUGCACAAAGUAAAGUCAAGAUCCUCCUGCUGUAAAAACCAGCAUUGACCAGCAUAAAUUCCCUUUCACUCACUGUUUCCCAACCUGCAGUCGGUUCAGCAAGUGUUUUUACUUAUGCUUUAUUAUGGCAUAACAGUAAAAUAAAAUUAUGACUAUAAUUCAAUUUGGACAUUCAUCUAUGUAUUCAUUGUACAUUAUACUGCACUAACUAGUUUUAUUACUUGUCAGAAACAUCAGGCUCACAGCAACAGAUUAAGAAGAAUCCUGCAUCAAAAGAUGACUUCAACUUGCAUGUGAGACAGAGUGAGAAGAGAAAAAGAGGAAUGAAGAUGGACUGUCUAAGAAACCUGUUUUGUUCAUAACGGAACUUGCAUCUAUCUCCCACGAAUGUAGAAUGCUGAAGGCGAGCAGAAAUGAGAAAAGUUAUGCUACAGCUCUCUGUUUGCAGCACGUCAGUCACGCUUGUCGGGAAAGUUACCAUAGUCAGCUGGAUCCCCUCCAAAUCCAGAUCAGAUGGUGGACCUGCAUCUUGGCAUGACCACGACGCAAGCCUAAAUGUCAACGAAGACCAUGUCAACUAGACAAGCCAGACAGAUCCCCUGUGAGAACUUCGUUGACAGCCAUCGGCAAAGAUCCUCAGCAAAGACCACAAGAACCAGACAAGUCCUCUGCACAGACCCCUACGGCUAGCUUCAACUCUAUGCCGGCGUGUUGUAUCUUGAUCUUCAAACUGAUGGAACCAUAUGAAAUAUUCUAGAUUAUACCAAUCCACAAUCUGACUUGUGUUGCUGCCUGAAUCACAUCACACCAUAUUCGUUCAUUGGCCAGAGGAGAACUGGUCCCUGACUGAGCCUGGUUUCUCCCAAGGUUUUUUUUUCUUCUCCAUUUUUGUAACCUGAUGGAUUUUGGGUUCCUUACCCCUGUUGCCUUUGGCUUCCUAAGUUUGGGACACUUAAUAUUCAGCAAUAAUAUUGAUUUGAUUGCACUGACACUAUCAUAUGAGAACUGAACUGAACUGGACGAUGACAUCACUGUUUUUUGCAGAGCUGCUUUAUAACAAAUUGAACUGAUUUCAUAAUUGAUUAACUUUAUACAGCUAUUGAACAGAACUGAAUUAAAACAUACUGACUUCAGCUGAACAAUGACACUAUUUCUUUUAGAGCUGCUUUACAGCAGAAUUGAACUGGAAUAAUUGAAUCAUUCUCCUGUUUAUACCUGUAAAGCUGCUUUGAAACAGUCUAUAAAGUGUUAAAUUAAAGGUGA